AGAACGAACGCUGGCGGCAGGCUUAACACAUGCAAGUCGAACGCCCCGCAAGGGGAGUGGCAGACGGGUGAGUAACGCGUGGGAAUCUACCCAGUUCUACGGAAUAACACAGGGAAACUUGUGCUAAUACCGUAUACGCCCUACGGGGGAAAGAUUUAUCGGGAUUGGAUGAGCCCGCGUUGGAUUAGCUAGUUGGUGGGGUAAUGGCCUACCAAGGCGACGAUCCAUAGCUGGUCUGAGAGGAUGAUCAGCCACACUGGGACUGAGACACGGCCCAGACUCCUACGGGAGGCAGCAGUGGGGAAUAUUGCGCAAUGGGCGAAAGCCUGACGCAGCAACGCCGCGUGGAGGACGAAUGCUUUCUGAGUUGUAAACUCCUUUCAGCAGGGACGAUUGUGACGGUACCUGCAGAGAAGCACCGGCCAACUACGUGCCAGCAGCCGC
rnacentral:rRNA from 1 species